GUAAGCUGACUGCUUCAAUUGUUAGAUGAAUAAUCUAAGGAAAGGUGAAGCCCUGACUGCCUUGAUCUGUUGGCUUUCCAGUUGCUCAAUGACUUUUAUGAACAUAAGACAUAUACAUGCGUUUUAAAUGACAUUAACUUUUGCUUUUCUCUAAAAUAAAAUAAGAACAAGUGGUAUGUGUUAGGUGACCUCAAGUACUCAGAAAAAAUAUUACACAGAAUUAUUGUUAUCAGCUGAAAACAACCUUGAUGUUCAUAAGUAAACAUUUCAAAAGUCAUUGACUUUGAAGAUGGUUCUGAAAACCAGGUCAACACUUAGGUUUUAAAUUGUAGUUUUAUAAGACUCAGACAUGAUAGAUUUCAGGCCGUUUCAUGUAGCCAAUGUCAUUCAAGGUUGCAAAUAAAUUUGGUCUUUCAAAAGCAAGAUGAAUGACAGAAUGUUCUGACACACAGCAAGUCUUCCAGGUUAGUGGUGACAAAGGUUCAAUGAUACAGUCAAGGCUAUCAUUCCAUCUGUAAUGACAAAUGGCAGUAUCUCCAAGAAUUAAAUAUGACAGUUCCAAGAGCAGUGUCACAAGUUUGCUCAGGACGAAAAUUACAGUGCGACCAGAAAGAAGUAAGAAACAUAUCUAUAUAAAGCAGGUAUUAAUUUCUACUUUUAAACAAAAUCAAUGGAUUAGAUUCUUUGUAUGUGAGUAUUUUCUGAAAUGAGGCAUCUAUCACAAGUCUCAUGCCUCGUUUAAUCCAUUGUUUUGGUGUUAGUGAAUUCUCAUACAGAUCUUGGAAGCUUGACAGAUACACUGUAGAGAAGUGGCUGCAGCAGAGCAAAGAGCAAAAGACAUGGACAAAGCUGACCCUGGAUCAAACUGCCAGGCUAGGCUGAGCAGAUCUCCAGACCACAGCGGUCCGCAGGAAGAAAAGAGGUUUUGCUCCAAGAACAAUGCACACGUAACAGACAAAUGAGGCGAAGCUUACGUAGCAGCUUUGUCGCCUGCUUACUGAACAGAAGGAGCAUCCUUCCCACAACUGAGGAGCCUUUCUAGGAGCCAGAAUCCCACCAGCUUGAUGCUCUGGAUAAAUGAUGGCUGCCAUGCUUGAGAUUCGACAUUCCAGAAUAAUCUGCUGCCUUGCCUACCAACGGAACAGGGCGAUGCAAAGAUAAUAGAAAGAAGAAAAAUGAAUCUUCAAAAUGGGAGAAGAAAAUGGGAGACUGUCCCAGCGUUGAACUAGAGAAAAGUUGGGGUGACAGGAGCUGUGCCCAACCUAGCACUGACAACUAGUAAUGGCAAAGCUGGAAGGAAGAGAUAGAAGAAGAAAGUGCAUGUCACAGAAAGAGUGAAAGAUGUGCCAAUGACAGGAAUUAAGUUCUGUUUACUGUCUCAUCUGUCCCUUAAGGAGCACCAGGGGAAGAAGUAAUUUCAAAACUGCAUCUUUUGUGCUUACACAUCAAUUUUGAUUUAUGGUAGGUACUGGUACUUCAAACAUUCCAUUUUCUAUAACUAGGAAAGAUGAAGAAAAUAAACUGUUUAAACUAGAUUUUGAGCUAAAUCCUAUUUUGACUUUUCAAAUAGACAAUAAUUUCAGUCAGAGUAAAGGUCUUUGUCAAGACGGGAAAAAUUGGGCACUGUAUUUAGCUUAUCAGGUCCAGAACGAGGAUAAUUCAAAAGCAUAGCUCUCUGAAAUUUGACAUAGGAUACGUCCUGGAAAAUAUGCUUACUGAAAAGGAAGACAUAAACAGGAAAAGCAUGUCCUAGUGUGAGCAUUUAGAUACAGGCACAUGCACGCACACACAAA
rnacentral:sRNA from 1 species